UGAGCAGCCGCUUUUCGUGUAUUUCAUACAAGUUCCUCCUCCUCCUCCUCCUCCUCUGCAGUUUGAUUUUAAUCGCGUUGAUUGCACAAGGUGCAUUUUCGGUACCUGCCCUAGGUAGGACAGACAGGAAGAAGCGCAGAAAUCACCACCUGGUUUUCAGGAAGCCUCCCUGCCGGGUGGUUUAGGGCUGCCGUGGUCAGGUGCGUUGUGCCUGCGCCAUCUUGCCUUGUGGAAGGCAAAAGCGCGUGAGCCCGUGCACCCCUCAGCUGCCCCGUGUCACGCUCCGGUGUGUCCGCCAAGCUGCGGGAAAACCGGCUGUGCCACCGCAUCCGCCCUUAGCCCGGGCGGAUUCAGCCCGUUGCUCCUGCUGCGGCAGCUGUACCUGCUCCUGAGGAGCUGGGUGGAUAGCUGGGACAGCAGCAUCUUAAACCUGCGAAAGGUUUGAUAUGCCACUGGGAUUUUGACAACAGUGGUGAGGACCUUAGCAUUGGCAGCUCACCAUCAGCUCGGUAGCGACACAAAGGGAAGACUGUCGCUUCGUAGGCCGUCGCCCCAACCUUCUGCCCAUGGUGUGUACGAUACAAAAUGGAGCUGAUGAAGGAGACAGAAAUUCCCGGCUACAGAAGGAUGCUGUGGAGCAUGUGGAGCAAGCGUUUGUGGUGUCUUUUGGCAGCAUGAGAGUGCGACCGAGUUACUUUCUCACAUGAGGGAAGGUAAAGCUGAGUCAGUACUGUGCCCAGAUAUGGCCACAGCAGCAUACUGACUGGCAGCCCUGAAAGUAUGGGCAUAACACAAAGUCUUGUCCCACUUCUAAGAAGUCAAUCUUUAUUAAUACAUAAAUCAAUAUUUCAGCAUGAGAGGCCUCACUACUACAUUUUUCCUAUGUCUCUAAUGAUCAAUGCUAUUCUUAUAAAGGAUUGAUGCAUGAAAUAAAUUCUAGCUCAUAGCAGGCUAAUGCCAAAUAUGCCUAAUACCUAAUUAUGCCUAUUAUCAAAACAUGUCAGAGUAACAAUUUAUUUCAGUAUUUUUGCAAUCUGAAGCUAAUUCUUUAAACGCUUCAUUUAGAACAGUAAGUCAGAUGUACCCAUUACUGGAAAAUGUUUCUCUCAUAGUAUCUAAAGUCACCGUAAGGAAAGACUGCUUCAAUUUUUUGUGUAUGGUUAUCCGUUACCUCUGUUAACUGUGAGUAAAUUUGUGAGACAAAAGGAUAAUGAAAUAGUAUUUUCACUGCAGUAACAGAAGAGGAAAGGUGAGGAAGAUGAGACAAAUCUGUCAGUCAGUGAUAUGUUCAUUUACUUUACACAUCUGCUUUAGAAAUGAUCAUUUCAUGAAGGUAACCACCAUAUCAAACUUACACCAACAUAGAACUGUCUUUUUCCCUUCUGCAGGUUCAUCUUUUUCCAUACCAAUUACUAGAUCAAAUUAUACCCUUUUCUUAUGUCUCCUGUUAUUCUGUGUGCAUUUUUAAUAAAUAAAUUAUUUUAUACUAUGGAAGACAACAAGAAAGAAUAGAAAGAAGAAAUUUCCAUGAGAGAAUAGAGCAUGUGUAUCUCUGUAAAAAUUUGGCUUGCAGUACACUAGAUAAAAAAGCUCCUAAAUGCAGCACAGUUUAGCAUUGAUGGAUAUUCAAUGGUGAAAGCAAUAAUCAACCCGAGGGAACAAGUUCUCCCAACUUUAAUGGAAGCUUCAUGCAGCUUUAAGAAGAGAGAACAAUUUGGCCUAGAAAUGCAAAAAGACUACUCUCAGCAUGAAUUUCUGAAAGCUGAAUUGUAUUAACAAAUCGUUUUUCACUGGAGUAGACUUUAGAGUCUAACUGAAAACCCCUCUCUUCUCUGAAAUUACAGAAAAACCUGCUUCCAAAUCUCUCCCCAAAUUCUGAUGUUCUUACCAUUCUCAUAGAAUAUCCUGAAUCUAUAGCCUGUAGGUAGACUGAUCAAGAAUCAAUUAAACAUCUUUACCUGGCAUCCCAGGGGGCCCAGGAGGUCCUGGGGGCCCUUGAUAGAGUCGAACUCCAAAAUCGCCACGGCAGCAGGUACUGCAGUCUGGAUUCUGUGGUCCCGUUUGUGGGGGCUAAGUGCACAAAAAUAGGUUUUAAAUAACUCAUUCAUUGAAUGCAUCAAUCAUAUGCAUGUUGGUUACAGGGUCUUCAUUAUAUAUUCUCAGUUUAUAUAUUUGCAUAAGUUUUCAAAACUCUUCUUAUCUAGACUGAAAUCUCCCAUACUUGGGUUUCCCCAAAGAUGUUAUUUUUGGAAGAUUUAAGGAAAAAGCUUUUCAAGUGUUCCAAGAGCUAUAUGAACAUAAAAAGAAAAAAAAAAGCUGGCAUGUUAAAAAAUGGGGCUUUUGGAAAUAAAAUGAUACUGAGUAAUGAAAGUUAAAUGGAUAUAUCAGUUAGGUUCCUGUCCUGCUUUUCACUGAUCCCAGAUUUCAGCAAAGACCCUUCGUUGACAAAAAAGCCUAAGUGCAAGGAGUGGCAGGAAACAAAGGCCUUCCUUUGGCCUUCAGCAAUGAGCUGUCUUCCGCUAAACAUGGAGAAAACUGGAUCGGACUGACGGAAGGAGAUACACAAAAUUGUCCAUGUAGCAAAUACCUGCUAAUGACUCCAGACUUGCAUAUUUACAGGCUAUUAAAGUUAAGAGAAUCUGCCAAAGUGCCGAGGUACAUGAGAAAACUCAAACUGACCAUGAGACAUGGUGUUAUGGACAUUUGAUUAUUUAUAGUUGUGGGUGUGUAACUAUGAAAACCUGUUUAUAUGAUGAGACAUAUAGCAACAUAAAUAAACUAAUGAGUUCAUUA